UCGUUAUUGCAGUUGGUCUAGUUCGGGCAUAUCUGGCUAAAGGCAGCUACCACAGCCUUUACUACUCAAUAGAAAAGCCCCUGAAAUUCUUCCAAACUGGAGCUUUGCUUGAGAUUCUGCACUGUGCACUUGGCAUUGUUCCCUCUUCUGUUGUUCUGACUGCUUUCCAAGUGAUGUCAAGGGUUUUCCUGACGUGGGCAGUAACACAUAGUGUAAAAGAGGUAAGU